UACGUAGGGUGCGAGCGUUGUCCGGAAUUAUUGGGCGUAAAGAGCUCGUAGGCGGUGUGUCGCGUCGGCCGUGAAAACCUGCAGCUUAACUGUGGGCUUGCGGUCGAUACGGGCAUCACUGGAGUUCGGCAGGGGAGACUGGAAUUCCUGGUGUAGCGGUGAAAUGCGCAGAUAUCAGGAGGAACACCAAUGGCGAAGGCAGCACUCUGGGACGG
rnacentral:rRNA from 1 species